UAACUAUAAACAAUAUGAACAAAUAAGAGAUAAACCUCUUAUUUACAUUCUUUUCCAACAGGUUCCCAGGCUUCUGCCUGGUUAGAGACUUUCAAUUUCUCUCUUUGACUGAAUCUGAGACCCACAAUCUGAAGCAGAUGGAUCUGCCUGUGGAGCAAAAGCCAAGCUCAAGGUGCAUCAAACAUAGGCAACCUGCACCUUGCCAGAGCACCUGGGACAUCUAUCCCUGGAACUCUGCGCUGACAUGGAGCACACCAGCCCUCUCCUCCUGCAUGCCUCACUGCAGGGGGAUAAUGUAUCAGGAUAUGUCACUGCCAGCACCCACGGGGAAUCCCAAGCCUAAAAACCCCACAGAAGUAUUUUAUAUCCCCACCUACAGCAAUGUUGUAGGCUAUAAAUUUUGUAUGUGGUCACUGUGUUCUUCCAGAACAUGUAGGCGGCUGUCAGCUUCCUAAUCCUGGAUUUAUUGGCAGCAAUGAGAGGAGAGAGGAGGCUCAUUUCAGGGACCAAGAGGACAAACCUAUUCUUGGCACCUUGGAGGGCUUUCCUGAUGCUGGUUAGAUGCACUGGAGUCCCCAUGGGCCCCCAUGAAUGUCACUCUUCCCAAACCUGAAGAUGAUCCACCUCUGCUAGCAACCCCCUCAUGUUUCCAUUACAACCAGCCCUCAAUUCCCCUUCCUCUUUCAUUCCCACAUGCUGGGUGACAAUUCAGCACCUUCACAGCUACUGAUGAGGAGCUCAGACAGCUCAAACUCUGUCUCCUUGCAGGGAGCAAUUCCCAGGGCAGCAUCUGACCUCUGAAACAGAAGACUUUGGAAGAAAUGUCUGUGAUGGGCUGUGGCUGUGCCAUGGUGCUCACAGGAUGGUUACAGCUCCAGGAUCUCCAAAUCAGAGCUCCUGGUGCCAGGUUUGGAUUUAUUACUCUGUUGACAUGAGUGUUCUCAGUGUCCUCCAUAGAUUUUAGCAUUUCUUUCAGAAACAAGUGGACUGUUUCUUUGUUCUUACCUAUGAAGAGUACCUUUAUCUAGAGUGCUCUUCUAUGAAAACCAGGCAAGAAAACUUUCCAGAAGAAACUGAGAAGCAAUGAAACCCAGCACUUUCUUUACAUUAUUCACAUGGACUCUGCUACCUACAGAAUGUCAAGCACAAUUUGUGUGUCUCACAUUGUGCAAACAUGUGAGCAUCAGGCAGGAGUGCACAACUUACCCAUGGCUGGUGUGAGUGAGUGGAACUCUUGCAUCCAGCAAAGAGCAACAAGUAUUAUGCCAUAUAAAUAAGUGACAGCUUUGGAAAUGAAUUCAUUUUAAAAGAGCCUGUCAACCUGAAACCUGUCCACUUCGCAAAAAAACAUUUCAAAACAUUUUCAGGUUGAUAUCUUCCCUGAAUUUUCCCCGUCACUCUUAGUAUGCCAUUUCUGUAUCAUUUAAGCUUCCUCCCUCUUGCUCUGCUGGGAAGAAUACACACACACACACAGACAAAUCUAGAGGAAAACAAAUCAUGCAGAUUUACACGAUAAGGCAAAACCAGGAAUGUGUCAUAACUGCGGAAAAGCUAUCAAGAGAAAUCAACUCAAACCAGAGGGAAGUCAGGAAAGAAUGUGAGAUCUUGUAAAACAACUUUCUAAUAUAUCUGUAAUAAAAUUGAGCCUUAUCUGUUGAUGAGGACAAGCAACUCCAAUUCUGUAAGCUCUGCACAGAUCUCUAAACCAAUGCAGAAUUGCACUAUUUUAAUUUAAUUUUGUUUUGUUUUAUUACUGACUAAGAGCACAGCUCAGAGCUACCUUCAACAUGUCAUGCCUUGAUGCAGGGAACUGGGUUUUCACAGCAACACUGCCCUGCAGCAGCACUGAUUCCAGACAAAAGGGUCUCAUCAGGCUUUUUUGCAUUUCCCACUUUGGCUUCAUCCACAGCUAAAAAAUGAGUCUGUUUAAGCAUAACUCACAGUUAUCUCUUUCAGCUCGUCUGUAAAAUGUUAAUGCAAUGUGUUCCCAUUUAAAGAUCCCUUUGCACUGCAAGAGCCACGUGAAGCAGUCUCUAUAGACAGGAGUGCGCCCGGAUUAAUCUGCCCUGGAAGCAGGAGGGAUGAGGAACCUUUCCAGAAGGCACGGUGAGAUCCACCCAGUGCCAGGGAGCCACACUGGCUGUGUGGGCAGGCGGCACCAUCAGGACGGGCCACUCUGUCCACCCUGGUGCCAGGGAGCGCCUCGGCUCGAUCCUACAAACCAGGCAAAGAUGUGACUCACGCAGUUUGCUUGCAAAGAAGGAGGACCAUCUGCUAGUCAUGAGCAGAUGACAAAUUCACUGCAUUGCGUCUUGUCGCUACUUCCAAAUUUUAAUGCUGAUCUUUCAAGUGCUGGAAGAGAAUGCAGGAUGUCCCAGCCUGUCCUCUGUCUCCUUGGUGCUUGUUCACACCUGAGCAAGGAGAGCAGAGCAGCUGAAGAUGGAGGAAGAAAGUCAAAGAACAGCAAGAGACCCCUGCAGAGAAGCCAAUGAAGCCACAAGGAGCAGUGCACAGCCCUGAGGGCACCAUCUGAGUCUUUCACUGGCCAGACACCCAUGGAGCCACAUCCUCUCAGUGACCCACUGGCUUCUCUUCCUUGCUCAAGUCUCCUUCUGCAGAUGCUCCUUCUCACUGUCCCACUCUCCAGGGAUUUCUGCAUCUGCUUCUCUCUUCUGCUCCUCUCUGUGUCCUCAUGUUGUCUCGGUGCAACCUCACCUACAGCCCCAGACUCAAAUUCCCUUUCCCAGUCCCUUGUGAUUUACAGAUCUGCUUCCCUUCUCCAUCUCUCCCAGUUGAGGCCUCUCCUUCUAACACCACCCAAAAGACAACUCCCCCCAGCUGCAGCCCAGCGUGGUAUGAGCAGAGCUGCUCAGCUGACAGCUCUGGGAGGUACCCCACAGCAUCAGAGCAUGCUGCCUGUCCCCCAGGCAUCCUAGGAGACAUCUUUGGUUCAGACUUCUCACAUCCUCAAUGAUUUUUUUUUUUUUUUUUUUUCUCAAUACCAUCUUUACUCUGUGGCCUUUUGUCUCCUUUCAGCUAAAAUUCCUGUGCAGACUUCUGGCAUUUUGAAUCUCAGCUACUCCCACCUCUUUUUCUUUCUGGCCUUGAAAAGUACUGUCUCAUCCAACUUGUACCCAGCUCAAACACUGCUAUGAACAUCCUUUCCUCAGGGGUGGCUUUUGCUCUGCUGCUGCUGCCUCUGGCCCCCUUCCUCUGCCCUGCUGUGCUCAGGAGAAGCUCCUUCCUCCUGCUUUCAAGGCUCAAGUGCAUCAUUCACUAACCAGGUAAAAUUUCUAGCCCAUAAUAUAAGCUUUAUUUGCCCACUUGACAGAUUUUCAGGCAGGCACCUUUGCCCAUCACUCCCACCACUCAGGUGUGAGACGGGCUCACCACAAACACCCACACAGCCACUCUCUUGUCUUCUGUCAGAAUCACAGUUACCAGCUCUCAGAAAAUCUUCACUGUGGACUGCCCCUGUGCUGGGCUCAUUUCUGGUGCUGCUGUUCCAUCAUUUUGUUCUGCUUUCCCUUCUCUUUGCCUACUUUGUCAUUCCCCUUGGCCUCUGCUUCAGUGCUAAGCUCUCUAGCACAGAGUCCAUCUUUUUUCCUUAGCCAUUCAAUACUCAAUCUGGUGAUGUCCUGGUCCUUGACUAAGAUUCCUAUGGUGAUAUGAAUCAUUAGGAUUGAUUCCCCGGUGCUAUACUGUCAUUUGGUGCAUUUGCUACAGCUCUUGGUAGCAAUUUGUAUUUAACUUUGCUUCAGCACCUCAGUUCUGAAGGCAGGAAAUGUGUGAUAUUAAUUACCUCUAAUCACAACUGACAUUAGAAGUUCUGGUAGAAAACCCAUAGAAAUAACCCCAUAAUUCCUUGCCUCAGAAUAGAGAUACAAGUUUCUCUAGCAUUACAUUUUUUAACCCAUUUUGCUGAAAUUUAAUGUAGUUAUUUAACUUUCAUUUUCUUCCAGCUGCUAACCCCUCACCUAGUUCAAAUGAUUCAUCCCUGCUGCAUUCACUGCCCAGGAAUGUUGGCUUUCAACAAACUACAGCAAAUAAUGUAAAAUAAACACGAGUGUGCUUUCAUCUCACAACAAUCUGGGUUAAGUACAUAUUUCACACACUGCACCACAGGAUAUGUUAAAUUAAAAUCAGAACCACCAGAUUUAAAAAUCCAAUGCCAAUUCAAACCAUUGAUGAGUUAUUUCUGUAUUCUUAUAUCCAACAGUGGGCAUGAGCAACAGCCAGUGCUUUAUUAACCCUGAAAUGUGCCACUUGAUAACUUUUUGCUGCAUUACUUGAACAAAACCAAUAAUUUUGAUUUGAAAUUACACUUUGGUGGAAAUUACUGUAAUAUACACAAGUAUCCUGAUCUUCUUGAACAAAUUUGAGACCAUACCAGUUUCUGUGUCUCCAUCUUCCUCUUAUUUUAGUGUUCUUCAUUUCCUAAACUGCUUUCAAUCACUCUCUGAAAAAGCAACCUGGAAUGGCUUCCUUGAAAUGAUAAAUAUGUUCUCAAAUGUGCUGCUCCCUCUUGCUGCUGGAAUCAUGAGGUCUGGGGUCUUGCAUAUAUUCAUUUCCUAGCCAAAAGAUACAGGGGAGCUAUAUUUGAAAUUAACAUUAUAAAAGAGAUGUUGGGAUGGGAAUCUGACAGAAAAGUGACAGUGUACUGGGCAAGACUCAGAUUUAAUGCACUCUUACCCUAAAUUUCCAUAGUGUAACAUUUUGUGAAUCUAGCUUCUCAUUCCAACAACACUAGGAUAGGAAUCGUGCUUAGUUAUUGAUUUACUUUGAAGAUAUUCAGAAUAGGCAUUCUAUUUCCUUUAGGCUUUAAAUACAAGAAUAGAUAUUCCCUAAGAUUUAGGAAGCCUUCUGUUCUGUGCCAUGUUGCUAUGUUUCGGCUCUAAAAGUCAAAAAUUAAAUGCUGCGGCUAGCAAAAGGAAAAGAGAAUUAGUUCAGUUCAUUUCCUUUCUUGACAUUAUGGCUUGAUGAGCUGCUGCUUUCUCUCUGCAGUGUCUGCUUGAAGAGAUGAGCAGGGACCUUUUUGGGAGCCUUGCUUCCUCCAAGUUGCUUGGAAGGAUCUGAGCUUAUGGGAAUGACUGAAGUGUCCUGGGGACAGAAAAAGAAACAGUUUAAUUUUAAUAGGUUAAUGGUUCCUGGACACUGAAGGAUCCACCACUUGCCAAAAUUACUUCUUGAUUUUCUUCUUUUAGCUUUCAUGGUGUUGUAAUUCUAGACAUCAUCUUUCCCUGACCAAGGAAAAAAAUUGACCUUUUCUGGUGUUGACAAAAACAGCAGAAGACAAAUCCAGAUACAAAUAUUUUCAUCCAUUGCCACAGAAACUCCUUGAGAGCCAUAUAGCUCUGUCUGGUCAGCUGAAAUGUGAACUUGAAAUGUGUCUCCCUUGGCUGAGAAUGGAUGGAAAACCUUUCUCUAACAAAGCAGUGCUAUGUAUUCUUCCACCCACCUUGGGAGGAGAAACAUCUCUGUACCCACAACCCUGCUUUGGUUCUUCUAGGUCAGCUUUUGUAUAAGGAAAGGGAUGAAACUUCUAGACCUAGAGGCUGAAGGUGGUGAUAAGAAGAGCAGAGCAGUUGCCUUUCAAAGAUUAAGUACCUUUUAAAAGACAUUUUGUUCUAGCUGAGACUUUUGAGAGACAACUGAAUGUUUGUAUUCCCAGAAUUAGAAUGGCUUUUUUGCAGUGCUGCUACAGUAAUUAAGGUUUAGAGCUCAGUUCAAAACCUAAUACUACCACAGCUGGCAAAGAAGAGAGCAAAAAUAAGCUAGCAGUUCUUCCUACAAAAUUAAAAAAAAAAAUUAAAAACCAAUGAACCAACCAACCAAACAAACAAACAAACAAAAAACCCAACCAAACCAAAAAAGCCCCCCAACCCAUAAAUGUCAGGAUUUUCAAAAUUAUGUAAAAAUUCAUUAUAAGGGAUUUUCUCAGCUAGCUUCAAAGAUCUUUGGAUGCAGUCUUUGGAGACAGCACUCCUCAGAAAAAAUGGAAUCCCAAAGGAGAAGAGCACUGAAUCUCAGCCACUGUAGAGCAGAAUUAGAUCUUCCCACGUUUCUGUGAAGAUCUAUAUACUUGAUUAGAGUAUCUUUCCAGCUUCUUUCAAUCUCUGAAGCCUAUACUCAGUUGUGCCUAUAUUAUAGGUUAGGAGAGUGGUUGGUUUGUGCAAGAAUACAGGGAAGAAAAGCAGGUACAUCACUGAGGAGGAGAAGUUGAGGAGACCCUAGGUCAAGUUUUGUUCCAAAUGUUUCUCUUCUCUGCUGCUGAUUGGUAAAAUCAUUCACAGUAUCUCCAUGGGCCAGCUCACUGUGGAGCUGCAUGGAAAUCUUCCAUGGUAACACCUUUCCCACAAGAAAAAAACAAAAAAAAACCAACCCCAAAACAAAAAACAACACCAAACCAACCAACCAACCAACCAAAACACUAAGAAUGUUAAUUUGUUAAAAAUAAAGGGUUUUCUCUGAAAUUCAAAGAAUAAUGAAAAAAAAAAUCAUUUGGAAAACAAAAUAUCUUAGAGAAAGUCAUCAAAGGUCUAGCCUGAACUUUUUGAAAGUGAAUGUUUUAGUUUUUCAACUUGAAAAGAUGGGUUACAAGGGUUUGACUUUCAUUUUAUAGUACAUGAAAAAAAAUAUUUUUCAAGGUGGAGUAAGAAUGAGAUGAGUUUUUUAUCAAAAUGAAACUUUGACAGCAGUUCAAAAAGGGGGUUUUAAGAGUGAUUGGAGGGAGAGGAUUUGGUUUGGCCUCAUAGGAAAUUUGAGAAAAAAAAAAUCAGAGCUUUAUUUCCAUUCUGAGAAAGAAGAAUUCAUUCCCUGUGGACCAAAAAAAAAAAAAAAAAAAAAUCCAUCUCUCACCCAUCCUUAAUACUCAGAGGCCUGCAUCUUUUGCAAUGGCAGGGCUGGGGUCGUGCUGUGGGUGCUUGGUGGGAGCACAGCCAAAGAAAAGCAUUUUGCUGUCAGGGGCAUUGAAACUGCCGUUCGUGGGCAGGAGUGGGUGAGCCUGAGAAUUCCCCAGGGGCUGGUCUGAAAACUGGCAGCCUUUUUGGAAAGCAUCCACGAUCUCCAAGUGCCCAGAGUCUCCAGGCCAGCCCAGGAAACAACCUGAUUGAACAGCCCCGGGACACCCGGGAGGCCUUUUUUGGUGAAGUGCAAACCUUUAGUCACACGCACACGCCCCACCUCGAGCAGCAAGCCCAGUCAUUCUCCAAGAAUGUCUUGAAAAUAAUUAAAUGGCUUUACGUCAUGUUCCAGGAGAUUAAAUUUUUCUGCCUUGCAUUUCUUAAAGCUACCAGGUUUUAAGGUAGCAUGUCAAAGCAACAAAAGCUCGUAUGUGGCACUACUCGCUGCUUCCAACAAGGAGCAGCCUGGUACAUUACAACCCCUUUGCUUUGCUGAGGAGAGAAAAGAAGGAAAAUGCAACAGUUUUGGCUUAGGCUGAGUAGUGUCAAUAGACUUUCUGCAUCUACAAGUUCUCUUUAGUCACAAAAUGCUGACAGAAAAUAGGCACUAUAUUUAAGCAGAGCUGAUACACCCUCUUCCUGCAAAAUUCAUUAUUUUGUACUUAUCAGGCUGCUACAACACAUAUAGUGUCCUUAAAACACAUAUAGUAUGGUGCUUUUGGAAUUGCUUUACCUCCUGUGAAGUUGUGGGUUUCUUCCAAAUAUGAAGAAUAAUAUGGAAAUUAUAUAUUGAACAGAAAAAGUAGCUGUCCUUGGGUGACAUUUGCAUAAUCCCUUCAUUUCUCCAGUAUUUAUAAAAACAAACAAAAAACACAGAUUAAAAAUGAGGAAAAACUCUAAAUAAUGCCAGUGUGGUAUCACCUGCUGAGCUUGGAGGGCUCUUUUGCUUUCCUUUUCUUUCUUUUUUUCUCUGCCAUGAGACUUAAAUACCCAUAUUUUAAGAAUCUCUGUGAUGAAGUGUCAUCAGCAAUAGGCAGAAACAGCCCUUGGAGUAAUGCACUGCAAACAAACACCUCAACCUCAGAGAGGAACCUUUCUGUCACACCACCUUUGCAAUCUCCUUUUUCACAAGGCUUUUCAAAUCAGCUUAAUUGUGAUUCUUAGGGGAAUCUCAGCUUCCUCUUCAUAUCAGGGUAAUGAAAAAUUUAGGUGCUAUUUCUGAGCACUACUCUACAUCACAACCCUAUCUUUUGUUCCAGGUCCUGGCACCCAAAAGACAGUAUAGAUGUGACUCUAACAACCUCUCCAGGAUGAGCUGCUAGUUUCCUCACAUGGAGAAAGAACAUAGAGAAGACUAGAGAGAUCAGGAUAAAUGAAAAAGCUUCUCAACAUUUUUCUCUCUCUUCUCAAAUUUGAUCAAAAACAUCAUGGAGAACGAAACAGGGAAAAGCGAAAAUGACAGUCUAUGGUCUUUGUGUCACACAGAAUAUGAAAGAUGGGAAAGGACAAAGAGACAAAAGAAAAGGAAGACAUAAUAUAAAAA